UGAGGUAGGUUUUUCUAUAGUACCUGUCAUUUUCCUGAUUUGUUUGCAGAGUUUGAGGAUGAACACAGCUGCCUUCUUGGGGAUGUAAAUGGAUAAUCACUUCUUUAGAUUUUUCAUCUCUAUUAUUGCUAAUUGAUAGAGGAAAAAUAUUGGAAAAUAUCUUAAUUAUAUAAGUUUCAGUUUUGAAAGAAAUUAGUAGCUUUCCUUUUGAAAUUUAGGGCAUAAUUUGCCUCA